rnacentral:rRNA from 1 species
AUUGAACGCUGGCGGCAGGCCUAACACAUGCAAGUCGAACGAGUGGCGGACGGGUGAGUAAUGUCUGGGAAACUGCCUGAUGGAGGGGGAUAACUACUGGAAACGGUAGCUAAUACCGCAUACCAUCGGAUGUGCCCAGAUGGGAUUAGCUAGUAGGUGGGGGAACGGCUCACCUAGGGGACGAUCCCUAGCGGGUGUGAGAGGGUGACCAGCCAACGUGGAACGGAGACACGGUCCAGACCCCUACGGGAGGCAGCAGUGGGGAAUAUUGCACAAUGGGCGAAAGCCUGAAGCAGCCAUGCCGCGUGUAUGAAGAAGGCCUUCGGGUUGUAAAGUACUUUCAGCGGGGAGGCGUUACCCGCAGAAGAAGCACCGGCUAACUCCGUGCCAGCAGCCGCGGUAAAC